UCUCUCAGCUCGCUUUCGCUCUCAAACCAAUCUUCUCCCUCGCUCUGGUACACAACAGAAAUCUUUGAAAGGAAAACCCAAUCCAACAUCAAUCUCGAUCGAUUCAUGGUAGCUUAAAUCUUAGCCAUCUUCUUCUUUCCCUUAUUUGCAGACUCCUCUUCGAUAAGCUCGACGAGCUUCUAACUGUUCUGUUCAAUGAAUCAACCCUAAGUAUUCAUCUCACUUUGCCUAGGCAGCAACACAGGCGGUUUAAGCGGAGCCUGUUAUCUCUUUAACCCAAAAGCUGAAGAGAAAAGUUCAAGGCCAAGCCCACUGAUUACUACCACUUCUCCACUCACGAAGAGAUGGAUCUAGAUGAAUUUGUACAUGAAGAGAUGGGUUGAAUCCAAAAGCUAAAGAGAAAAGUUCAAGGGCAAGCCCACUGAUUACUACCACUUCUCCACUAACGAAGAGAUGGAUCUAGAUGAAUUUGUACAUGUUUUGCACAUUCCGAUUUUGAAUUUGGAGUUCAAUUGAAGAUUCAAAGCUAGUUAGUUCAAAAAAGAGGU